ACCAACUCAAUUAAUUCAGCAUGUUUAGUCCUUUAAUCUUUGUUCUUAGUACUACCUUCGUGAUCCCACACUCCUAAUCAUAUAAGCUAAAGUAUUGCACAUUCAAUCUUUGGAAGAUAUAAACAAAACAUAAAUAUAGAUAGAUUAUCUUUCCAUUAGGUUGAGCCAUCUGAUCUAACAAAUGUUUUAAAUGCUACACUCAUGAUCCAUCAACUUUGCCUUGCUCACUAUGCUUAAGGUUAGAGAAGAACAAAUACACUUUUGGUUCUGUUGGUGUUUUCCACCAAUAGGGCCCAUGCACUUGAUCUCUGCCUUGUCUCCAUGAAUAGGUACACUUUAAACAAAACAUGGAGGAGUUUUACAACUCCCAGAUUCCACUAAGUGAAGAACCGGGAUCUACGAGCACAAACACAAUGGAGAUCAGACACUUAGUUUCCCAAAGGAAAUAUUGAAGAACCUCUGUGUCCGAGUUGGUACCUUGUACGCUCCAGCAAACUUCAUGGUGAUAGAGACUGGUACUGAGGAGAGGGCACCCAUCAUCUUAGGGAGGCCAUUCCUAAACACCAGAGCAGUCAUCUACGCUAAUGCUGCCAAGAUCAGUCUCUACAUCAAGGGGAAGAAGGAGACUUUCCUUCAAGAACAAGACUACACAAGCUUCAGAGCAAACCCGACAUGAACCAAGGAAGAGGACCAACAGGAGGAACAGGAACAAGCAAAUGUGGACUGAGUCAGCUAAGAUGGUCACUGCAGUUCAAAAAGGUCAAGAUCGUCGACUCAAGUCGCCAUUCCUGAUCAAGAAGGACGACCCUGGUGUUCCAAGCAUCGAGUGCACAAUCAACGGAUACUCUUUUCAGAAGACACUCUACGACACCGGAUCUGACGACUACAUAAUGGCUGCAGUCACUUAUCAGCUCCUGCAUGGAACCAUGCCCCUAUAACCAACAUACAUUCAACUCCAGAUAAUCUUGAGGUCAUUAACAUGGGAGAAGACGAGUAUGAUCCACCCAUCAUCCUUGGAAGACCAUUCCUCAACACUAUCAAAGCCAUCAUCUAUAUUGAAACCGGAGAAGUCCACAUGCACUUCCCCUCUGAGAAGGUACGCCACUACUUUAAUGACCUUAACUAUAUAGUUGAAAACUCUAAGCAGGCCAGAAGAAGACAACGCAACCGCACCAGAGGAGGCAAAUCAUGAAGGACGGAUGGGCAGACUAGAAAGGAGAAGUGGUAAGGUCUGAAGACAUACAGCUUGAACAGAACUGUCCUAAGGAGACCGUAGCACCGAGUCAGAGAGAGAAGAUAGUUAUACACGAAGAAGAGGCGCCGCCGGAAUCACCGACUACGCCACCUAGCGAAUCCCAGGACGACUGAAAACACAAGGAGUCCCGUUCGGAGGACUUAAAAACACCGAACGCCUUGCCAAGAGGUAAACUUGGUAGUUAUCCUUUUCCAUUCAAUAGUUUGCUUAGUUAAUCAGGUUCAUGCUAUCUUGAAAAGAAAAUAAAUGUUAAAAAAUAGUAAGCCCCAUGUGAGUAUGCUCAUGGCAUAAAACCCAUAAGUACAUUCACUGUGGUGGCAUGAAAAUAAAAUAAAUAAGUUUUCAGCUUACAAUAAAAAUAUAAAAAUAAUAAGUGCAUGAUCCUGCUAAAUAAGUAAUAUUGAGGAGGCUCAACAUGAUAAAGGCUAGAUAUUUAUGCUAACACUUAACCAGUUCCACAAAGCUUUGUUGUCUAUUUGAGCUCCACAGAAUUCAAGGAUCAAAGAAGACUAGCAGACGGAGGACAUCCUAAUCGCUGUCGGGGUGCUGUCGACUUUCAAAUACACCUCCAUCACCUGCUAGCUACAUCAGAAGAAAUUACGUCAAAAUUCAGCUUGGGGGAGAGCACCCCCAUUUAUCUCGCUAAGUAUUUCUACCUAUCUUUAUACUUAUAUUAUGUUAGAAUAUUAAAAUACAUAAACUAUGAAAAACCCAAAUAAAGAUUUUGUGCUUUUAUAUAUAUAUCUUUGCUUAGUUUGCUAAAUAAAUAAAUAAAUAAAAUUUGCUAUGAACCCUCAUGAUAAGCUCUCUCAUGGAAAUGAUGAAUAGUUGGUCUGCCAUGACUAGUUCUUAAAAUUGAAAUCUCUCUCAAGUUUAGGCAUAACUGUUAUAAUUUAAAGCUUGCUCUAAACCUAAACUUGUGGGAAGAGUACUUGAUCUAAAGUCUAAGUCGUUAACGGAUAUGAUAUGGGAAGGUUGAGCUGCUGUUUAUCUGUUCCUAGAGAUGCUAGAAUUCUGGAGAAUUUUAUCUUUGAAAAAAUCUUUAAAAUAACACAUGAUGAGUUCCUGUAUGAUGAGAGUUUAAAAUCCUACCACAGCCAUAUAUACAUGCUUGCUAGACUUUGAGCCACAUAUUUACUUUUUACUGCUUAUGAGCAUUGAGUGUGGUCAAGCUGUGUAGACCCUUAGGAGCUUGUCAUGUGGUUAAAAUCAAGAUUCACUUGCACGUUCACUCAUACAUGCUACUUCUACUCCGGAAGUACGCAUCCACAUACAUCCACUCAUUUCCAUCUCCACAUUCACCCGAAAUUAUUCUACUCCUAAUCCGGGAGAGAAUAGCAAAAAAUAUUUUCCUAUCCUUGUUAUUCCCUAUGAAAUAAAUGCUCCAGUUAUUUUAAUUACUACCACUUGCUACAUUCUUUCAGGAGAUGAGUGCUCUAAAAAAAGAGAAAGAGAAAAAGAAAGAAAAAAAAUAAUAAUAAUACGAGGAAAUAAAAAGGGGCAAGUGCCCGGAACCUCGAAGAAAAGAAAAAGUGAAACGAGAGGUAAAAAUGGACAAGUGUCCGACAGUAGAAUUAGGGGUACAAGAUACCCACCUGAGAGGAAAGAAAAAGAAAAUAUAGAGCAUCUCAUUCUCCCCAAAAAGCUUCAAAGUACAAGAAAGGUAUGUAUCCCCUCAAACGAGCAUAAAAAAAUAGAAUUAGACUUUCACCAUCAUUAUCACCAUCAUCACCAUACACCAUUCAUUCGCCACACAUGCACAUCUUGAUUUGACUUAUUGAUUUGUUUCUCUGGAUCCAUGGUUUGACUAUGCAAUAAAAGUCUUGUAAGUAUGUAUUAGCUGUCUCCUACCCAUGAGCUCCAGAUAUCAGAACUUUAUUAGAGUAGGGUGAGAGAGAAGGCAAUGUCACUAUGCCUCAUACCAAAAAUACCACAUACUUUGAGAGAAGGCAUAUACCAUUACUGCCUUGGUAUGGAUCCAUAAAUACCACAAAAGAGAGAUCUGAGAGAGUCAUAUAAGGAAUCUCUGAGUUUUAUUUGAAAAUCUGCAAAAAACCCCAGAGCUAUAGCUGAUCAAGAAUAAGAGACAUGGCGCUUGACUUGACCGUUCUAUCUUUUAACUGCUCAAGACACAAGUGACGGUUACAAGCCCCAUGGUAAAAGGUAAAAUGAGUAAGUUUUAAGUCUUAACAGUUUAUUCUAACUCAGAGAUGAGAUCUUGCUUGAAUGCGUGUGUACUUUUAAGAAAUGAAACCACUGCAGAAACUCUUGAGUUCAUCCUUGCUCAGGGAUGAGCAAGAGGUAAGCUUGGGGGAGUUUGUUGACGGUCCUUAAGUAUCAAAUUUAAUUAUCAAAUAAACAAAGAAAAGGAUCCAAAUGAAAUCAACAUCUAGACUUAGGGUUUUAUCUGACAGAAUUCCACGAGUUUUGGUGUUUCUCUAUUUCUACAGGGGUUAUCAUGAAAUAAGGAAGAAAGGCCCACACGUCGGGAUUACAUAGAGAUAUUAAUGUGCCGCACAAUUUUCUAUCAUCUAGAAGACUCCAGAAGCCACGGGAACGAACGAGAAGGCAAACGGGCCCGGGGGCAGGGCGCCCGCCCACCCCCCUUGGGCGCCCGCCCAGGUGUUUCCACCAAUCACAGAAUGGAGUACACCAUUGCAAAGAUCUCGUCGAGCUGAUCGAAAUGCAUAUAUUACUUGCUAUAUUUGGAGUUCGGAAUCAAAAGAUAUUAAUAAAGGAAGGACUCCACAUAAAAGAGCUGCGGGAUUAAUUGGGCCCAAAUCAGAUUUUGGUCCAUUAUGGCCUAUGUGCAUUUUAAUGAGAUAUAGUGGAAAGUUUAGUACCACAUCGCCUGCUGAACCAAAAACGCAUAGAGGAGGAGGACUAUAUAAGGAGACCCCCUGGCCCCUGGAGGAGACAAGAAAUUAUCAUAGAGAUUGAGGGGUGCCCUCGAUGGAAAACCUCUUCUCUAAAUAAUAUUUCUUUUUAGGCUUAGCAACCAAUAUAAAGUAGAAAUAGAUCUUCUAGUUUCUACUAGAUUGAGAGAGAUAGAGUGGAGGUGUGGAUCGGAGGAAGGCCGGCCUGUCGGUGUCGACUCCGAGUUGUACCUGCGGGAUCAAGUCUCCUAACCCGAGGCUUGCUUCUAAGAUUCUUCAGUAAUUCAACUUCUAAUACUAGUAAGUUCUUGUUUUAUUAUUCUUUGGUUUAUGAGUUUACUUUAAUCCUCUUCCGGUUGAGUAUUAGAGUAAUCACUUGCUAGCGUAAACGUGGUGUUUAGGCUUGGGUACUCAUAGAUAUCCCCUGACUAGCUGGACCGUGGUAGUAGCGAGGAACGUGACAUUUCCGAGUUACCUUUGUAUUCCACAUCUCGUUAGCAGGACGGGUAGGUUUAUAGGUGCGGGUCGAACACCCUUUGUGUUGUCUAGAUUCCGUGAGCCUCCCCAAUAGAACAGUAGAUCAUCUUUACCAAGGUUAGAACGAGACUACGGUUGCAGUCUUCUCUAUACAUCACUCACAUCGAGAGACAUUCUUUGUAGCCUAAAGGGAUAGUAGCAAUAGAUUUGGUUAGUCAGAUGCACCCUUUCUCCCAGUGGUAAAAAUAUAAAUACGAUAACUCUGGAAAACCUCCCGGGUGAAAUGCUCACCGAUAUCCGUGCGCUUGCGGAUCAUUUCCUUAUUGCGUUACCAAAUAUCAACAACCCCCUGGCCCUUGGAGGAGAAGAGGAGAAAUCAUUAUUCAGAGGUAGCCAUCAAAGUUAGGGUUUAGAUCUCUCUCCCACAGAGAAUUAGAAUUAGCUACUCCCUAAUCCUUCAAGUUUAGAGGUUGAUUAGAUAGCAAUUAGAGAAGUAGAGCACUACGCUCUGGAUUC
rnacentral:lncRNA from 1 species